rnacentral:rRNA from 1 species
AUGUGGUCGGUUUGGCACUCUAGAAAUAAGCUGACGCAUGGGGAAGACAAGCUGGAUCCUGCUGUUUCAGUUCGCAGAACCAGGGAAACACUCUCACUUUUGGAGAUCCCUCAGCGUCAUGCAAUCUUGUUGCCCGGACAUGGAUGGCGCCCCCCGGACAUGGAAUUUGUGAAAAUCAACACCGAUGCUGCGAUCUGUAGGGAGGACGGCAAGGGUGGCGGGGGCGGAGUUGCUCGAUCAGCAAGUUCCUUUCAAGGUGCUUGGAGCAAACCAUACCCAGGUGUGACUGACCCCCUCAUCGCGAAGACGAUGGCAGUUCGUGACGGCGUCAUCUUCGCCAAGCUACGGGGUUUUUCGAAAGUUGCACUCGAGACCGAUUGCUUGGAGGUAGUCAACCUUUGGGCCGCUCGGCAUGAUUCUCGCUCUAUUGUGGCACCCAUCUUAGUAGAAAUUGGAGAGCUAGCUAGCACUUUUACUUCUUUUGUAAUUCAGCAUGUAUCCAGGUCAGCUAACGGUCCAUCUCAUAUCUGUGCUAAGCAUGCUUGCACGAUUGAUGGAACCGAGAGUUGGCUUGAUAACACUCCUAGUUUCCUUAUCAGCAGCCUUUUGGCUGACUGCUCGGUGAACGCCUUCGUUUAA